rnacentral:rRNA from 1 species
UAAUGAUGGCGGCGCUGUCUCCAGCAGAGACUCAGUGAAAUCGAAAUCGCAGUGAAGAUGCUGUGUACCCGCGGCUAGACGGAAAGACCCCGUGAACCUUUACUACAGCUUUACAUUGAACUUUGACCUUACCUGUGUAGGAUAGGUGGGAGGCUUUGAAGCAGGCACGCCAGUGUCUGUGGAGCCAUCCUUGAAAUACCACCCUGGUAAUGUUGGGGUUCUAACUCAAGCUUAACAGAGCUGAGGACAAUGUAUGGUGGGUAGUUUGACUGGGGCGGUCUCCUCCUAAAGAGUAACGGAGGAGUACGAAGGUGCGCUCAGAACGGUCGGAAAUCGUUCGAAGAGUAUAAAGGCAAAAGCGCGCUUAACUGCGAGACCCACAAGUCGAGCAGAUACGAAAGUAGGUCUUAGUGAUCCGGUGGUUCUGUAUGGA